rnacentral:piRNA from 1 species
UACUUACGACUGGGUUAUUUUCACUUGGA